AACGAACGCUGGCGGCAGGCUUAACACAUGCAAGUCGAACGCUCGUAGCAAUACGGGAGUGGCGGACGGGUGAGUAACGCGUGGGAACGUGCCCUGAGGUACGGAAUAACUGAGGGAAACUUCAGCUAAUACCGUAUGAGCCCCGAGAGGGGGGAAAGAUUUUAUCGCCUUGGGGAGCGGCCCGCGUCGGAUUAGCUAGUUGGUGGGGUAACGGCCUACCAAGGCUUCGAUCCGUAGCUGGUCUGAGAGGACGAUCAGCCACACUGGGACUGAGACACGGCCCAGACUCCUACGGGAGGCAGCAGUGGGGAAUUUUGGACAAUGGGCGCAAGCCUGAUCCAGCCAUGCCGCGUGAGUGAAGAAGGCCU
rnacentral:rRNA from 1 species